rnacentral:tRNA from 1 species
UUAAUUAAAACCAAAAAGAGGUAUAUUAAUGUUAAUAAUAAAAUUGAAAAAAAAUUAAUCUAAUUAAA